rnacentral:rRNA from 1 species
AUGUCCAGCAGCAGCAGCGUCCUCCUGGCCGCGGCGGUGGCACUGGCGCUGCUGGUGGCGUCGGCGUCGGCGCAGUCCGGGUGCACGUCUGUGCUGAUCGGCCUGUACCCAUGCAUGAACUACAUCAGCGGCAGCGGCACGGCCCCGACCAAGUCCUGCUGCUCGCAGCUCGCCUCCGUCGUGCAGUCGCAGCCGCAGUGCCUCUGCAGCGCGCUCGGCGGUGACUCCCCGUCGCUCGGCGGCGUCACCAUCAACAAGACCCGCGCGCUCGAGCUGCCCAACGCCUGCAACGUGCAGACCCCGCCGGCGAGCAAGUGCAACGGCGCUGGUGGUGGCAGUGCUCCUGGUGCCAGUGCCAACACGCCGACCACCCCGGCAGUGCAGACACCGGCCGGCUUGGGAUCGAAGACGACGCCGUCGGCGUACCUGCAGGGGAACGGCGGCUCGUCGCUUCAUGGCCCGGCGGGUCUGGUGUUCGCGCUCGCGGUCGCUGCCGUCUACGCCGUGUCGGCCGUUUGA